ensembl:lncRNA
AGAGAGAGAGAGAGAGAGAGAGAGAGAGAGAGAGAGAGAGAGAGAGAGAGAGAGAGAGAGAGAGAGAGAGAGAGAGAGAGAGAGAGAGGCAAAGAGAGAGAGAGAGAGAGAGGCAGGCAAAGAGAGAGAGAGAGAGAGGCAGGCAAAGAGAGAGAGAGAGAGAGGCAGGCAAAGAGAGAGAGAGAGAGAGAGAGGCAGGCAAAGAGAGAGAGAGCCGCAGGGAGAAAGAGGCAGAGAGAGAGAGAAAAACAGAGAAAGAAAGGCAGAGAGAGAAAAAGAGGCAGAGAAAGAGAGGCAGAGAGAGAGAGAGAGGCAGAGAGAGAGAGAGGCAGAGAGAGUGAGAGAGGCAGAGAAAGUGAGGCAGAGAGAAAGUGAGGCAGAGAGAGAGAGAAGAAGAGACAAAGAGAAGCAGAUAGAGAGGCAGAGAGAGAGAGAGGCAGAGAGAGAGGCAGAGAGAGAGAGAGGCAGCGAGAGAGAGAGGCACAGAGAGAGAGAGAGGCAGAGAGAGAGGCAGAGAGAGAGGCAGAGAGAAAGAGAGGCAGAGAGAAAGAGAGGCAGAGAGAAAGAGAGGCAGAGAAAGGGAGAGAGAGGCAGAGAGAGAGAGAGAGAGUGAGAGAGGCAGAGAGAGAGAAGCAGAGAGAGAGA